AUGUGCCCGAGACCCACGCGCUCCGCUGUCAUUCUGCUUCUGAUAAUUUCAGAGCCAGCGAGUCGUGGGCAUUUCACUGCCCUGUGGAUGCAAGGCUGGGGUGGAUUGCCCUGCCCCGGGCGGGCAGGCAGUGCGGGGCAGGAUGGAGCCCAUCACCAGCAGCUGGUGUUCCAGCACCACUGCUUCAAACCCCAGCCAGCCUGGGAGCCCCCUCACUGUGGCCACAGCUGCAGAAGGGCUGUUAGCCACAGCACGUGGCCCCGUGCCCGCAGAGCUGCUCGGUCUCAGCACAGGCACGUCCCUGUGGGUGCUCGGGUAGCCCUCUCACCACUCUGUGUGCGUUGCCAGUUUCUGAGGGAUGGUUCGUGGGCAUUUUUGAAACAGACCCUUUGCACAUCUCACCCGUUCCCUCGUUUCACAACACUGCCUUGCUUCUCCCCCUUUGUGAACAGCUUCACCAAAAGAGCCCAUCAAAGACCCAGAGCAGAGCAAGGCCGGGCCAGCAGCCGUGCACUCCAAACAACACCUCGAUUUAAGGGUGACAACAAAAAACAUCACACUCACGCACAACCCAGGCUAAAUUUAGCUCUGAGUCCUCUGCACAUCAUCACCGGACUGCAAGUGCCUCGGGGCGGUACCCAGUCUCCGUUAAACCUUUCGAUGCGGGCACAUCGAGCGCGCCGAUUCCCCCCCAGGUGCUGUGGGCAGACACCACGUCCGCCUCGGGCUGCUUCCCCCUGCCCCGGAUCAGCCCGGCUGCAGGGCAGGGCCUGGUGCCUCACCCUUCCCUGCCUCGGCGUCCGGGUGCAAACCUCUGCGUCCACUGCUGGUAACGGCAGCGUCUUCCCAGCUGCCCCCGGCUGUCCCCUGCCGGCACCGCUGCCACCAGGUCCUGGGGUGGAAACGGAGGACGGAGGCCUCAGGGUACGGGGGUGCCCUCGGUGGGGUGUGUGGGGGGGUCCCAGCUCACCUCUGCUGAACCAAAACGGCUCCGUGGUCCUGGCCUAG
rnacentral:lncRNA from 1 species